CGAAGGUGACGACCGUUGCUCGGAAUCACUGGGCAUAAAGCGCGCGUAGGUGGCUUGGUAAGUCCAUGGUGAAAUCCCUCGACUCAACCGAGGAACUGCCGUGGAUACUGCCGAGCUUGAGAACGGAGGGGUAAGUGGAACUCUCGGUGUAGCGGUGAAAUGCGUAGAUAUCGAGAGGAACGCCGGUGGCGAAAGCGACUUACUGGACCGUUUCUGACACUGAUGCGCGAAAGCUAGGGGAGCAAACAGGAUUAGAUACCCUGGUAGUCCUAGCUGUAAACGAUGAGUACUGGGUAGGGUUGGUCCAAUGCCAGCCCUGCCGGAGCAAAUGUGUUAAGUACUCCGCCUGGGGAGUAUGGUCGCAAGGCUA
rnacentral:rRNA from 1 species